UACGGAGGGUGCAAGCGUUGUCCGGAAUCACUGGGCGUAAAGGGCGCGUAGGCGGCGCGAUAAGCGUGUGGUGAAAGCCUGGGGCUCAACCCCGGGAGGCGGGUGGAUACUGCUCAGCUCGAGUCCGGAAGAGGAGUGUGGAAUUCCUGGUGUAGCGGUGAAAUGCGCAGAUAUCAGGAGGAACACCAAUGGCGAAGGCAGCUCUCUGGGUCCCUACCGACGCUGGGGUGCGAAAGCAUGGGGAGCGAACAGG
rnacentral:rRNA from 1 species